GGAAACUUGGACAAAGCCCUAAGUGCGAUCCUGAAGUCCACCAUCUGUUUUUGACACACCACUUAGUGCACAAAAUUCACAUAACCAACGCUCAUAAAUGACACCGCACCUACGCACGAUUCCAAACCCAUCGCAAGCGACUUAUCACCCCCAUCACCCACCAACUGUAGCGGCGCUGCUUGUCAAUUUCAUAUCUUUAAAAUUAUGACAGCAGUGGUAACAAAAAAAACUCCAGAAGCAUCUGCGUAAAAUUCCCCAAAAAUUUUGUAUACAAAUGAUAAUUAAAUUCCAACCCCUAAUUAGCCCAAAACAGUCCACAAGAUGAACCCUGCAAUCUGUUUUUGGACAGCAACAUACCCGGAUUCAAACAGUGAUAUCUCCUAAAUUAUAAAUUCGAAUCGAGCGCAUAAGUACUCGUUGGAAAGGUAUGACAAAGCUCUAUAUGAUUGUCCCACUGAUCCCCACUAAUUACCCACGAAAAAUUCCCAGAAAUCACUAGAACUACUGCUGUUCGCCCACCCACAAAAAUUCUGGACAGCACCUCUACCGAUUCACAUAGAUAAACAUAUAAUCAAUUGAAUUUUAGCGCAAAAACAUAGAUAACUUCAAGAUGACCUUGAGUUCCACGUUUUUCCUCCUUCCUUCCUCCCACCAAUUCUCCAAUUGAAACUUGCACCCACACGAAGAAGAUUCGACGAGGAAGAACGACACUUGGAGAAGAGGAGAUGGGUGGGGUAGCGGCUAGGGUUAAGGAGAUGGCUGCUGCAAGAAACUUGAGAAUGGAGGGGGGGGCUGCAGCACUUGGGGAAGAGAGAAGAGGGAA
rnacentral:lncRNA from 1 species